rnacentral:rRNA from 1 species
UACGUAGGGGGCUAGCGUUGUCCGGAAUCAUUGGGCGUAAAGAGCGUGUAGGCGGUCCGGUAAGUCCGCUGUGAAAGUCGGGGGCUCAACCCUCGAAUGCCGGUGGAUACUGUCGGGCUUGAGUACGGAAGAGGCGAGUGGAAUUCCUGGUGUAGCGGUGAAAUGCGCAGAUAUCAGGAAGAACACCCGUGGCGAAGGCGGCUCUCUGGGACGGUACUGACGCUGAGACGCGAAAGCGUGGGGAGCGAACAGG